rnacentral:rRNA from 1 species
GAUGAACGCUGGCGGCGUGCCUAACACAUGCAAGUCGAGCGAGAAUUUUCUAAAUGAAGCUUCGGUAGAAUUUAGAAAAGGAAAGCGGCGGACGGGUGAGUAACGCGUAGGCAACCUGCCCUUUGCAGAGGGAUAGCCUCGGGAAACCGGGAUUAAAACCUCAUAAAGCCUCCAUAAGACAUCUUAAGGAGGCCAAAGAUUUAUCGGCAAAGGAUGGGCCUGCGUCUGAUUAGUUAGUUGGUGGGGUAACGGCCUACCAAGGCGACGAUCAGUAGCCGACCUGAGAGGGUGAACGGCCACAUUGGAACUGAGACACGGUCCAA